GUUCGGUCCCUAUCCGCCGUGGGCGUAGGAAAUUUGAGAGGAGCUGUCCUUAGUACGAGAGGACCGGGAUGGACUGACCUCUGGUGCACCAGUUGUUCCGCCAGGAGCACAGCUGGGUAGCUAUGUCAGGAAGGGAUAAACGCUGAAAGCAUCUAAGCGUGAAGCCCACCUCAAGAUUAGAUUUCCCAUAGUUUAACUAGUAAGAUCCCUGGAAGACUACCAGGUUGAUAGGUCAGAGGUGUAAGUGCAGUAAUGCAUUAAGCUGACUGAUACUAAUAGAUCGAGGACUUGAUCAA
rfam:Clostridium colicanis DSM 13634 CLCO_contig000007, whole genome shotgun sequence.